AGAGUUUGAUCCUGGCUCAGGAUGAACGCUAGCGGCAGGCUUAACACAUGCAAGUCGAGGGGCAGCGGGGAGGAAGCUUGCUUUCUCCGCCGGCGACCGGCGCACGGGUGAGUAACACGUAUGCAACCUGCCCCUGUCAGGGGGACAACCCGCCGAAAGGCGGGCUAAACCCGCGUACAUGCCACCGGGGCAUCCCGGAGGCAGGAAAGGCUUCGGCCGGACAGGGAUGGGCAUGCGGCGCAUUAGGCAGUAGGCGGGGUAACGGCCCACCUAACCGACGAUGCGUAGGGGUUCUGAGAGGAAGGUCCCCCACACUGGUACUGAGACACGGACCAGACUCCUACGGGAGGCAGCAGUGAGGAAUAUUGGUCAAUGGUCGGGAGACUGAACCAGCCAAGCCGCGUGAGGGAGGAAGGUACAGAGUAUCGUAAACCUCUUUUGUCAGGGAACAAAGGCGGGGACGUGUCCCCGGAUGAGUGUACCUGAAGAAAAAGCAUCGGCUAACUCCGUGCCAGCAGCCGCGGUAAUACGGAGGAUGCGAGCGUUAUCCGGAUUUAUUGGGUUUAAAGGGUGCGCAGGCGGUCUGUUAAGUCAGCGGUCAAAGCCCGGGGCUCAACCCCGGCCCGCCGUUGAAACUGGCAGUCUCGAGUUGGAGAGAAGUAUGCGGAAUGCGCGGUGUAGCGGUGAAAUGCAUAGAUAUCGCGCAGAACUCCGAUUGCGAAGGCAGCAUGCCGGCUCCACACUGACGCUGAGGCACGAAAGCGUGGGUAUCGAACAGGAUUAGAUACCCUGGUAGUCCACGCAGUAAACGAUGAAUGCUGGCUGUCCGGGGGGAUGGACCCCUGGGUGGCGAAGCGAAAGCGAUAAGCAUUCCACCUGGGGAGUACGCCGGCAACGGUGAAACUCAAAGGAAUUGACGGGGGCCCGCACAAGCGGAGGAACAUGUGGUUUAAUUCGAUGAUACGCGAGGAACCUUACCCGGGCUCAAACGGGGAGUGACUCAGGCAGAGACGCCUGUUUCCCACGGGACACUCCCCGAGGUGCUGCAUGGUUGUCGUCAGCUCGUGCCGUGAGGUGUCGGCUUAAGUGCCAUAACGAGCGCAACCCCCGCGUGCAGUUGCUAACAGAUAACGCUGAGGACUCUGCACGGACUGCCGGCGCAAGCCGCGAGGAAGGCGGGGAUGACGUCAAAUCAGCACGGCCCUUACGUCCGGGGCGAUACACGUGUUACAAUGGGUGGUACAGCGGGAAGCCAGGCGGCGACGCCGAGCGGAACCCGAAAUCCACUCUCAGUUCGGAUCGGAGUCUGCAACCCGACUCCGUGAAGCUGGAUUCGCUAGUAAUCGCGCAUCAGCCAUGGCGCGGUGAAUACGUUCCCGGGCCUUGUACUCACAGCCCGUCAAG
rnacentral:rRNA from 1 species